rnacentral:sRNA from 1 species
UGUACGACAAUGGAGACCACAUCUACAGA